UACGUAGGGGGCAAGCGUUGUCCGGAAUUAUUGGGCGUAAAGCGCGUGUAGGCGGCUACUUAAGUCGGAUGUGAAAGCCCUUGGCUCAACUGAGGAAGUGCACCCGAAACUGAGUGGCUUGAGUACCAAAGAGGGUCGCGGAAUUCCCGGUGUAGAGGUGAAAUUCGUAGAUAUCGGGAGGAACACCGGUGGCGAAGGCGGCGACCUGGGUGGAUACUGACGCUGAGGCGCGAAAGCGUGGGGAGCAAACAGG
rnacentral:rRNA from 1 species